rnacentral:tRNA from 1 species
GGAGAGGUGGCUGAGCGGCCGAAAGCGGCGGUCUUGAAAACCGUUGAUCCGCAAGGAUCCCAGGGUUCGAAUCCCUGCCUCUCCGCCA